rnacentral:rRNA from 1 species
AUGCUUAACACAUGCAAGUCGAACGUGCCUUCGGGCAAGUGGCAGACGGCUGAGUAACGCGUGAGUAACACACCCUUCGGUGGGGUAUAGCCUCGGGAAACUGAGGGUAAUCCCGCAUACGAUCCCUACGCCCUGGUGUAGGGAUGAAAGCCUUCGGGCGCCGGAGGGGUGGCUCGCGUCCUAUCAGGUAGUUGGUGAGGUAACGGCUCACCAAGCCGAUGACGGGUAGCUGGUCUUAGAGGACGAUCAGCCGGAGGGGGACUGAGACACGGCCCCCACUCCUACGGGAGGCAGCAGCAGGGAAUUUUGGGCAAUGGGCGAAAGCCUGAUGGAGCGACGCCGCGUGAGGGAUGAAGGCUUUAGGGUCGUAAACCUCUUUUCUCAGGGAAGAGCAAGGACGGUACCUGAGGAAUAAGUGACGGCUAACUACGUGCCAGCAGCCGCGGUAAUACGUAGGUCACAAACGUUGUCCGGAUUUAUUGGGCGUAAAGGGUCCGUAGGCGGCUCGGUAAGUCUCCUGUGAAAUCUUCAGGCUCAACUUGAAGAGGUCGGGGGAUACUGCCGGACUUGAGACUGUUAGAGGCAAGUGGAAUUCCCGGUGUAGUGGUGAAAUGCGUAGAUAUCGGAAGGAACACCAGUGG